CAGUCCCAGACUCCCAAAGGUUCCUUUGGGAGUCUGGGACUGCACACAGGCACAAAUGAUAGAUUAUACCAGAUGUCUUACUCAGCCAAAAUUGUGUCAGCGAUUUUU